rfam:Staphylococcus aureus subsp. aureus NCTC 8325, complete genome.
GAUUAAGUUAUUAAGGGCGCACGGUGGAUGCCUUGGCACUAGAAGCCGAUGAAGGACGUUACUAACGACGAUAUGCUUUGGGGAGCUGUAAGUAAGCUUUGAUCCAGAGAUUUCCGAAUGGGGAAACCCAGCAUGAGUUAUGUCAUGUUAUCGAUAUGUGAAUACAUAGCAUAUCAGAAGGCACACCCGGAGAACUGAAACAUCUUAGUACCCGGAGGAAGAGAAAGAAAAUUCGAUUCCCUUAGUAGCGGCGAGCGAAACGGGAAGAGCCCAAACCAACAAGCUUGCUUGUUGGGGUUGUAGGACACUCUAUACGGAGUUACAAAGGACGACAUUAGACGAAUCAUCUGGAAAGAUGAAUCAAAGAAGGUAAUAAUCCUGUAGUCGAAAAUGUUGUCUCUCUUGAGUGGAUCCUGAGUACGACGGAACACGUGAAAUUCCGUCGGAAUCUGGGAGGACCAUCUCCUAAGGCUAAAUACUCUCUAGUGACCGAUAGUGAACCAGUACCGUGAGGGAAAGGUGAAAAGCACCCCGGAAGGGGAGUGAAAUAGAACCUGAAACCGUGUGCUUACAAGUAGUCAGAGCCCGUUAAUGGGUGAUGGCGUGCCUUUUGUAGAAUGAACCGGCGAGUUACGAUUUGAUGCAAGGUUAAGCAGUAAAUGUGGAGCCGUAGCGAAAGCGAGUCUGAAUAGGGCGUUUAGUAUUUGGUCGUAGACCCGAAACCAGGUGAUCUACCCUUGGUCAGGUUGAAGUUCAGGUAACACUGAAUGGAGGACCGAACCGACUUACGUUGAAAAGUGAGCGGAUGAACUGAGGGUAGCGGAGAAAUUCCAAUCGAACCUGGAAAUAGCUGGUUCUCUCCGAAAUAGCUUUAGGGCUAGCCUCAAGUGAUGAUUAUUGGAGGUAGAGCACUGUUUGGACGAGGGGCCCCUCUCGGGUUACCGAAUUCAGACAAACUCCGAAUGCCAAUUAAUUUAACUUGGGAGUCAGAACAUGGGUGAUAAGGUCCGUGUUCGAAAGGGAAACAGCCCAGACCACCAGCUAAGGUCCCAAAAUAUAUGUUAAGUGGAAAAGGAUGUGGCGUUGCCCAGACAACUAGGAUGUUGGCUUAGAAGCAGCCAUCAUUUAAAGAGUGCGUAAUAGCUCACUAGUCGAGUGACACUGCGCCGAAAAUGUACCGGGGCUAAACAUAUUACCGAAGCUGUGGAUUGUCCUUUGGACAAUGGUAGGAGAGCGUUCUAAGGGCGUUGAAGCAUGAUCGUAAGGACAUGUGGAGCGCUUAGAAGUGAGAAUGCCGGUGUGAGUAGCGAAAGACGGGUGAGAAUCCCGUCCACCGAUUGACUAAGGUUUCCAGAGGAAGGCUCGUCCGCUCUGGGUUAGUCGGGUCCUAAGCUGAGGCCGACAGGCGUAGGCGAUGGAUAACAGGUUGAUAUUCCUGUACCACCUAUAAUCGUUUUAAUCGAUGGGGGGACGCAGUAGGAUAGGCGAAGCGUGCGAUUGGAUUGCACGUCUAAGCAGUAAGGCUGAGUAUUAGGCAAAUCCGGUACUCGUUAAGGCUGAGCUGUGAUGGGGAGAAGACAUUGAGUCUUCGAGUCGUUGAUUUCACACUGCCGAGAAAAGCCUCUAGAUAGAAAAUAGGUGCCCGUACCGCAAACCGACACAGGUAGUCAAGAUGAGAAUUCUAAGGUGAGCGAGCGAACUCUCGUUAAGGAACUCGGCAAAAUGACCCCGUAACUCGGGAGAAGGGGUGCUCUUUAGGGUUAACGCCCAGAAGAGCCGCAGUGAAUAGGCCCAAGCGACUGUUUAUCAAAAACACAGGUCUCUGCUAAACCGUAAGGUGAUGUAUAGGGGCUGACGCCUGCCCGGUGCUGGAAGGUUAAGAGGAGUGGUUAGCUUCUGCGAAGCUACGAAUCGAAGCCCCAGUAAACGGCGGCCGUAACUAUAACGGUCCUAAGGUAGCGAAAUUCCUUGUCGGGUAAGUUCCGACCCGCACGAAAGGCGUAACGAUUUGGGCACUGUCUCAACGAGAGACUCGGUGAAAUCAUAGUACCUGUGAAGAUGCAGGUUACCCGCGACAGGACGGAAAGACCCCGUGGAGCUUUACUGUAGCCUGAUAUUGAAAUUCGGCACAGCUUGUACAGGAUAGGUAGGAGCCUUUGAAACGUGAGCGCUAGCUUACGUGGAGGCGCUGGUGGGAUACUACCCUAGCUGUGUUGGCUUUCUAACCCGCACCACUUAUCGUGGUGGGAGACAGUGUCAGGCGGGCAGUUUGACUGGGGCGGUCGCCUCCUAAAAGGUAACGGAGGCGCUCAAAGGUUCCCUCAGAAUGGUUGGAAAUCAUUCAUAGAGUGUAAAGGCAUAAGGGAGCUUGACUGCGAGACCUACAAGUCGAGCAGGGUCGAAAGACGGACUUAGUGAUCCGGUGGUUCCGCAUGGAAGGGCCAUCGCUCAACGGAUAAAAGCUACCCCGGGGAUAACAGGCUUAUCUCCCCCAAGAGUUCACAUCGACGGGGAGGUUUGGCACCUCGAUGUCGGCUCAUCGCAUCCUGGGGCUGUAGUCGGUCCCAAGGGUUGGGCUGUUCGCCCAUUAAAGCGGUACGCGAGCUGGGUUCAGAACGUCGUGAGACAGUUCGGUCCCUAUCCGUCGUGGGCGUAGGAAAUUUGAGAGGAGCUGUCCUUAGUACGAGAGGACCGGGAUGGACAUACCUCUGGUGUACCAGUUGUCGUGCCAACGGCAUAGCUGGGUAGCUAUGUGUGGACGGGAUAAGUGCUGAAAGCAUCUAAGCAUGAAGCCCCCCUCAAGAUGAGAUUUCCCAACUUCGGUUAUAAGAUCCCUCAAAGAUGAUGAGGUUAAUAGGUUCGAGGUGGAAGCAUGGUGACAUGUGGAGCUGACGAAUACUAAUCGAUCGAAGACUUAAUCAA